UACGGAGGGUGCAAGCGUUAUCCGGAUUCACUGGGUUUAAAGGGUGCGUAGGUGGGCAGGUAAGUCAGUGGUGAAAUCUCCGGGCUUAACCCGGAAACUGCCAUUGAUACUAUCUGUCUUGAAUACCGUGGAGGUGAGCGGAAUAUGUCAUGUAGCGGUGAAAUGCUUAGAUAUGACAUAGAACACCAAUUGCGAAGGCAGCUCACUACACGAAUAUUGACACCGAGGCACGAAAGCGUGGGGAUCAAACAGG
rnacentral:rRNA from 1 species